rnacentral:rRNA from 1 species
UACGUAGGGUGCAAGCGUUAAUCGGAAUUACUGGGCGUAAAGCGUGCGCAGGCGGUUAUGUAAGACAGUUGUGAAAUCCCCGGGCGUCAACCUGGGAAUUGCAUCUGUGACUGCAUAGCUAGAGUACGGUAGAGGGGGAUGGAAUUCCGCGUGUAGCAGUGAAAUGCGUAGAUAUGCGGAGGAACACCGAUGGCGAAGGCAAUCCCCUGGACCUGUACUGACGCUCAUGCACGAAAGCGUGGGAGCAAACAGG